CCCCAUUCACGUAUACUGUUUUUUUCCCUCAUUUUUUUCUUUUUCCUUUUACUUCUUCUUUAUUUUUAUUUGAUAAAUACCUAUUUGAAUUCCAAGCAAGGCUGAAUGGCUAUUUGCAA
rnacentral:ribozyme from 13 species